rnacentral:rRNA from 1 species
UGUGUAGGUGGCGCCGUAAGUCGGGUGUGAAAUUUCGGAGCUUAACUCCGAAACUGCAUUCGAUACUGCGGUGCUUGAGGACUGGAGAGGAGACUGGAAUUCAUGGUGUAGCAGUGAAAUGCGUAGAGAUCAUGAGGAAGACCAGUGGCGAAGGCGGGUCUCUGGACAGUUCCUGACACUGAGACACAAGGCCAGGGGAAGACGAAACG